AGAGUUUACAAAUUAUUUCACAAUUUUAAUGAGACAAUUUAUUGACACAUAUCAAAGCGAUUAUUAGAAAAAUAAAUAACAUUGACAUUUUACAUAGAUAGGUGAGGAGUAUUUACUGAAUCACAAUAGUUUCAAAUAGCAAUUCUGACAUCUGUGAAUAUAAGAACAAUGCCUGAUUUAAGUAGACAAAAAUAUCAAAACAAAGGUAGCACCAACUAGCAGUGUGAUUCUUUUCAGUAUAUAUUAAUAACAAAAUUACAUUGAAAAUAAAGAUAAAGUUUUAAUGAAAUAACAAUAAUGAUGAGGAGUUACUUUUAGAAAAUGAAAUUAAAAACCAUGAUACAUGCAUGAGUGUUUAAAUAACUCAAUGAAGCUCAGAUAACCUAUAAAUAAACCAGAGCCAUUCUCAGGAUGAUCCAAGCUUACAAGUUUUAUUUCUAAGC
rnacentral:lncRNA from 1 species